AAACAACAGCAUAAAAAAUGCAUACCGGUUUCGGCCCGGUAAGAGCGAGCACGCAUUGUUUU
rnacentral:tRNA from 1 species